UCCACGCCCUAAACGAUGAAUGCUAGUCGUCGGGACUCUUGUAGUUUCGGUGAUGCACUUAACAGAUUAAGCAUUCCGCCUGGGGAGUACGGUCGCAAGAUUAAAACUCAAAGGAAUAGACGGGGACCCGCACAAGUGGUGGAGCAUGUGGUUUAAUUCGAAAAUACGCGAAGAACCUUACCUAGCCUUGACAUUGAUUGAAUUUUCCAGAGAUGGAGAAGUGCCUUUCGGGGAACAUGAAAACAGGUGCUGCACGGCUGUCGUCAGCUCGUGUCGUGAGAUGUUGGGUUAAGUCCCG
rnacentral:rRNA from 1 species